rnacentral:rRNA from 1 species
UACAGAGGUCUCAAGCGUUGUUCGGAUUCAUUGGGCGUAAAGGGUGCGUAGGCGGCGCGGUAAGUCGGGUGUGAAAUCUCGGAGCUUAACUCCGAAACUGCAUUCGAUACUGCCGUGCUUGAGGACUGGAGAGGAGACUGGAAUUUACGGUGUAGCGGUGAAAUGCGUAGAUAUCGUAAGGAAGACCAGUGGCGAAGGCAGGUCUCUGGACAGUUACUGACGCUGAGGCACGAAGGCCAGGGGAGCAAACGGG